AUAAUCGCUUCCUCCGUCCAUCCUAACCUCGGCUUCAGAAUCUCACAAAACACAUUAAAGAUAAACGAAUAUACUUACACCACGUGACGAAGAGACGUGGCGAGGACACGAGCCUGCUCUUCCUCAAACCCAGCUCUCCGUUUCCUGCUCUCAUCUCGACAAUGCCCUUCCUCUCUAGUCGUGGAAGAAGACGCCGAUGUGGGAUCCGAUUGAUUAGGGUUUACGGAUUGAUUACCGAUCGGCGAUUCAUGGAGGAAGUGCAGAGAGGUGAUUUCAAUUUCAGUUCCAACGAGGAGUUUAACAAGCUUCAAA